CACGGGGGGCCUACGGGAGGCAGCAGUGGGGAAUAUUGGACAAUGGGCGCAAGCCUGAUCCAGCCAUGCUUGUUUUGAGUGAUGAAGGCCCUAGGGUUGUAAAGCUCUUUCACCGGUGAAGAUAAUGACGGAACCGAGAAAGAGGCGGAAUUCC
rnacentral:rRNA from 1 species